rnacentral:rRNA from 1 species
AGCGGAGACCAUACCACGUUGAAAGCACCGAUCACCGAAGUUAAGCAACGUCGGGCCCGGUUAGUACUUGCAUGGGUGACCGGCUAGGAAUACCGGGUGUUGCCGGCU